rnacentral:lncRNA from 1 species
AUAGGAUUACAUUUGUUUUAUUUCCAUUUUAUAUGUUUCAAAAACAGGCAUACUAAAUUACAGCAUUGGAAAUCAAAAUAGGGGAUAUGUUUAGGGCAGAUGGAGUGAUAAUGUGACUGGAAGCAAGCAUCAGGCGGCUCUGGGAGGGUUGGCUGAUUUUCUGUUUUUUUACUUGUGUGGCAAUUAUUACGGUGUUCACUUUGUGUUCAUUUAUUGAGCUUUGCAUUUUUGUUUUGCUAUGGUUUUCUGUUUAUAUGUUAUGCUUCUCAGUUUAAAGAAUGUUGAAAUCUUCUAAUAAGAAAUUUUUUUUUCAAUGAGAAGGAUUUUAAGCAUCCAGAAUCAAUUUUAAAAUCUCCAAUUUGCUUUAUAUGUAGGUUUAUGGACUACUUAACUGCUACUCAUUUUUUCCUUCAUUUAUCAAUAUUGAAAUAUGAAAUUAAAAUAAUGACUAUUUGUGGCAAAAUUAGGGACUAUGUAGCAUAUUAACAACUUUAUAAAUAAAAGGAUAAAGCAACUCA